UACGUAGGUGGCAAGCGUUGUCCGGAUUUACUGGGCGUAAAGAGCGCGCAGGCGGUCGAUUUAGUCGCGUGUGAAAGCCCCCGGCUCAACUGGGGAGGGUCACGCGAUACUGAUCGACUCGAAGGCAGGAGAGGGUAGUGGAAUUCCCGGUGUAGUGGUGAAAUGCGUAGAUAUCAAGAGGAACACCUGCGGCGAAGGCGGGUUGCUGGGCCGACACUGACGCUGAGGCGCGAAAGCUAGGGGAGCGAACGGG
rnacentral:rRNA from 1 species